rnacentral:rRNA from 1 species
UACGUAGGGGGCAAGCGUUGUCCGGAUUUACUGGGCGUAAAGAGCGUGUAGGCGGCCACGCAGGUCCGUUGUGAAAACUGGAGGCUCAACCUCCAGCUGUCGACGGAAACCGUAUGGCUAGAGUCCGGAAGAGGAGAGUGGAAUUCCUGGUGUAGCGGUGAAAUGCGCAGAUAUCAGGAGGAACACCGGUGGCGAAGGCGGGUCUCUGGGCCGAUACUGACGCUGAGGAGCGAAAGCGUGGGGAGCGAACAGG